UUAAUAUUUCCGUACUUGGUAUAAUUGCGAUGGGGGGACGGAGCAGGCUAAGCAAGCAUGGCGAUGGUAGUCCAUGUGAAAGUGUGUAGGCUAGUGACUUAGGUAAAUCCGGGUUGCUGUUAGGCUGAGACACGAGACGAGUCACCAAGGUGAUGAAGUUGCUGAUGCCAUACUUCCAGGAAAAGCCUCUAAGCUUCAGAUUAUACCGAAUCGUACCCCAAACCGACACAGGUGGGUGGGGUGAGAAUCCUAAGGCGCUUGAGAGAACUCGGG
rnacentral:rRNA from 1 species